rnacentral:misc_RNA from 1 species
UAAAGAAACAAACCAAGAAAGCCCAUCUCUUCCCUCCAACAAUAAGGAAGACCCUUCAAGAAAACAACUUUCUGCUACUGGUGCUGGUGGUUUUGGUGGUGGUGCUGGUGGAGAUAGACUCAAACGAGAUGAAUGGAGCGAAGGAGCUGUUUCUAGUUUGCUUGAGGCUUAUGAGAGUAAGUGGAUACUUAGAAACCGAGCUAAGCUCAAAGGCCAUGACUGGGAAGAUGUUGCUCGCUUUGUUUCAUCUCGUGCAAAUUGUACCAAGUCACCCAAGACUCAAACGCAAUGCAAGAACAAGAUUGAAUCCAUGAAGAAGAGGUAUAGAUCAGAGUCCGCCACCGCAGAUGCUUCUUCUUGGCCUUUAUACCCUCGUCUUGAUCUUUUGUUACGUGGAAGUGCUGCUGCUACGGCUGCAGUAGCACCACAACCACCACCCCCACCGCAGUCACAACAACAACAACCACCACCACCACCACCAGAAUUACCGUUUUUCGCCUUCCAAAUCCCUUGAUUUCUCCACCUGGUUCUCUGAAAACCUUUACAAGAUCAUAAUCUGUUUUUUCCUCAUCGCCACUGUCGCCGCUGUCUUCUUCCUUCGGAGUACUGGUGACACUGCUGCCUUUCUCUAUCUUCAGUCCAAGUCUCAACCCAUUGAGAAAACCCUCCCAUUUCCCCAUAUCAACUGGAAUCACAUCCCUCCUAUUGCCGAUAGGGCUUCCAUCUAUGCCAGUUUUCGAACUGAGAAAUGGAUCGUUGUUUCGGUCUCUGAUUAUCCCUCCGAUUCGCUUAAGAAACUUGUUAAAAUCAAGGGCUGGCAAUUGCUGGCUAUUGGGAAUUCGAAGACCCCGAAUGGUUGGGCGUUAAAGGGCGCCAUAUACUUGUCUUUGGAGCAGCAAGCGAGUUUGGGGUUUAGGGUUGUGGAUUUUGUGCCAUAUGAUUCUUAUGUUAGGAAAAGCGUUGGGUAUUUAUUUGCUAUCCAGCAUGGGGCCAAGAAGAUCUUCGACGCUGAUGAUCGUGGGGAGGUGAUCGGAGAUGAUUUAGGGAAGCAUUUUGAUGUGGAAUUAAUUGGAGAGGGAGCUAGGCAAGAGACUAUAUUGCAGUACAGUCAUGAGAAUGUGAAUAGGACUGUGUUGAAUCCUUACAUUCAUUUUGGGCAGAGGUCGGUUUGGCCUAGAGGGUUGCCAUUGGAGAAUGUGGGUGAAAUUGACCACGAAGAGUUCUACACUGAGAUUUUUGGUGGGAAACAAUUUAUUCAGCAAGGGAUUUCGAAUGGAUUGCCAGAUGUUGAUUCUGUGUUUUAUUUUACUAGGAAAUCUGGUUUGGAAGCUUUUGAUAUUAGGUUUGAUGAGCAUGCCCCUAAAGUGGCAUUGCCCCAGGGAAUAAUGGUGCCAGUGAAUUCAUUUAAUACAAUGUACCAUUCAUCGGCUUUUUGGGGUUUGAUGCUUCCGGUUUCAGUAAGCUCAAUGGCCUCUGAUGUGUUAAGGGGCUAUUGGGGGCAAAGGCUUUUGUGGGAGAUUGGUGGGUAUGUUGUGGUUUACCCACCUACUAUUAAUAGAUAUGAUAGUAUUCAGGGAUACCCUUUUUCGGAAGAGAAGGAUCUUCAUGUAAAUGUAGGGAGGCUGAUUAAGUUCUUGGUAGCAUGGAGGUCGAGUAAACAUAGGUUGUUUGAAAAGAUUUUGGAGUUGAGUUAUGCAAUGGCAGAGGAGGGCUUUUGGACAGAGCAGGAUGUGAAGUUUACUGCUGCUUGGCUUCAGGACUUGAUUGCUGUUGGAUAUCAGCAGCCUAGGUUAAUGUCACUGGAAUUGGAUCGGCCAGGGGCAAGCAUUGGCCAUGGGGAUCGAAGGGAGUUUAUCCCUCGUAAGCUGCCAUCUGUGCAUCUUGGAGUAGAGGAAACAGGGACCGUGAGUUAUGAGAUUGGCAACUUGAUUCGGUGGAGGAAGAAUUUUGGAAAUGUUGUGCUUAUUAUGUUUUGCACUGGGCCUGUGGAACGGACUGCUUUGGAAUGGAGAUUGCUUUAUGGGAGGAUAUUCAAAACAGUGGUUAUUUUGUCACAGCAGAAGAACGAGGAUCUUGCUGUUGAAGAGGGCAAUUUGGAGCAAUUAUACAAGCAUCUGCCCAAGAUAUUUCAUCGGUUUGCUAGUGCAGAAGGCUUUUUAUUCCUUAAGGAUGAUACUGUCCUCAAUUAUUGGAAUUUGCUUCAGGCUGACAAGAGUAAGCUAUGGAUUACUGAUAAGAUUUCGAAAUCCUGGCUUACCGUGUCAACCAAAGGAAACUCAGAUUGGCAUGGCAAACAAGCUGAAAUGGUAAAAAAUGUUGUUGGUUCAAUGCCUGUUCACUUCCAAGUAAAUUAUAAGGAUGCUAUGAAGAGUGAUCAGAGCGUCACUAUAUGCAGUUCUGAGAUAUUCUACAUUCCUCAUCAUUAUGUAGCUGACUUUGUAGAUCUUGUCAGCCUUGUGGAUGAUCUGGAAAUCCAUCACAAAAUUGCCAUACCUAUGUUCUUUCUUUCAAUGGAUUCGCCUCAGAAUUUUGACUCUGUGCUUAGUACAAUGGUAUAUAAACAGAAGCCACCAUCAAUUAAUUCAACCAUUUAUUCUGCUCAAGCGCCUGCUGUUCACCCGUGGAAUGUGUCAAGUGAACAAGAUUUCAUAAAGCUGGUAAGAAUAAUGGCAGAAGGUGACCCUCUCCUAAAGGAGUUAGUUUUAAGGUAAAAGCAUCUUUUUGAUAAAUAGAGACAGAAACUGUACCAUUUUGUAAUUCUCAUACAAAAUUCUGUUUUAUUUUUCUUUUUCAAUUUUUCUUGAGGGGGAGGGCUCUUUUUUUUCUUUUUAUCCCAUUUGUAAUUGUAUUUUUUCUAUUAAAAAAGAAUUCUUUGUAGAUUUACCUUGUAUGAUUCAUUUACUGAUUGGGUAUUCCCUUUAAUGAUAAAAUGUUUCAAAUCUUUUGCUGUCUCAAGAAAUAGGAGUACAAAAUACUGGUUACUGGUUAUAGUCUGAUAGGAGCUGAGGCAAUAUUUUCAUUUGGUUGAUAUGGAGUGGGAUCAUUGUCAUUUGUCAUCAAAUUAUGCCACCUUCUUCUUCGAAUUUGGCAGGAACCGAGUAAAAAGAUUUUGAAAAGGGGAAUUGGAUUACAACCCCAUUUUUAUAAACAAAUUUUACAUCUCAAGAGAGGAAGAGCUCAGGUUCAUCACCUAAAUCAACAAUGUCUAUCAAUAUUUGCACUUAGGCUUCCUGUUUACCUAUCAAUGCCUUCAAUCUUGUCUUCAACUUCUGAGUAGAGCUGCCUCAACUUCUCAAUAUUUUCCUGUGAAGUUUCCCAAUACCCGCGGCCAUUGGCCUCUAAGAAUGUCUGCAGUAACUUCCUAAAUGAAUUCGGAUUAGUGCUUAUCAGUCUAUUCAGCAUCUCCUCAUCUUGGAUGAAAGUUGAGUUUGCCUCUUCAUACACCCAGUUGUCGACUUGGCCUGAGGUUGCACUCCAUCCAACUGUAUUUGUUAGCCGCUUCUCAAUUUCACGAACACCCUCAUAUCCACUAGACAUCAUUCCUUCAUACCACUUGGGGUUCAGCAAUUUGGUUCGUGCAUCAAGUCGUACAGUCUCAGAUAGUGUGCGAACCUGAGCAUUAGCAGUUGUUGUGUCUGCUAUAUAUGCACUAGGCUUCUUUUUAUCCUUCCUCAAGUUCUGCACUAGGUUUGUUGGGUCUGAAUCAAAGUAGUGGCUUACAUCAGUGAGGGAAAUUUCUGAGGAAUCAAGGUUUUGGAAUGUGGCAUCUGCUGUGCUCAGAACCAUCUCAAACACUUGUCUUUUCUCCAUCAUGCCUGCACCUGGAGCAUCACAAUCAAAGGCAAAGGACUUCCGGCUCAAAUACAUGUCUUGAAGUUGAUUUUCAUCAUUCCAGGAAGAAUUCUCCACUGCAAGGUUUAUGUUUGAGGAGUAGGAUCCAGAGGCAUUAGAGAAUACUCGAGUUGCAGCUUCUCGAACAUCAAUGCCAAGGGCUUCAGCUUGUUCUAAGGCAUGCUUCCUGACAUAGUUUUGGUCAGCUGGCUCAUCAAGUUCAGCCACCAUCUUCACUGCACGGUCCAAGAGGUUCAUCUGGUUGAUAAAAAGAUCUCUGAAAACUCCUGAGCAAUUGACAACAACAUCAAUCCUAGGCCUUCCAAGCUCUUCGAGACUGACUGGUUCCACCCGGUUAACUCUACCAAAGGUAUCAGCAACUGGCUUCACGCCAAUCAUCCACAAGACCUGAGCUAAGGACUCACCAUAAGUCUUGAUGUUAUCAGUUCCCCACAAUACAAGUGCAAUUGUCUCAGGAUAUUUUCCACCAUUGUCAGCCUUCUGCCUCUCAAUUAAUCUAUCCACCACAACUUUUGCACUCUGCAUUGCUGCUGUUGUAGGAAUGGCUUGUGGGUCCAGUGCAUGGAUAUUCUUUCCUGUUGGCAACACCUUUGGGUUUCUAAUUGGGUCACCACCAGGACCUGGCUCCACAUAUUUGCCCUCUAAAGCUUGUUUCAGACUCCCUAACUCAUUAUCAGCAACAACCAAUUUCAAACACUCUCCAAGGAACUGGAACAAUGUUCUCAGCUUCUCUCUAUCUGCCCGGUAAAAUUUGGUGUUUGACAAGUAUUGGACCCAUGGUUCAUUGAUACCAAAUCCAAGGAUUGAGCUAAGUUUAUUAGUAACAUCUACAACUUGACCCUUCUUAUUUGUUGUUCUCUCUACAAAGGCAGAGAUGGCGCCACGUGAUGCCUCAGUUAUUUGCCGGAGAAGCUCUACAUCCUUCAAGAUUCCUUUGUCACUUCCUCUAUAAACUUCCUCAAUGUUUUGUCCAACAGUUUCAGCUAAAAUAGUUGGAAGUGAGGAAAUCCCAUCUUCAGGACGAUUCAGUGCUGCAAUAUUGACUAGAGUUGCAACUGCUUCCAUGGCAGAUGGAGGCUCCCCAAUGACAUGAAGCCCACAUGGCAAAAGCCGGGACUCAAUUUCCAUGAUUUUGGAGUACACCUUUCCAACCACAAGAUCUCUCUCCUUUGCAGGGAUCUCCUCCCCCUCAUCAGGAAGUUCGACAUCCUUGUCAAGAUUACAUUGCUUUGCAGUACUAAUAAUGGAGCUUACAAUUUGCGGUCCACGGCCUGUGUCUUUAAGUGACUGGUAUGAGGAGAUAAGCUCACUCAACUGCUUGAGGCCCUUGUAAAGCCCAGCAUUUUCAGCUGGAGGUGUCAAAUAGCUAAUGGUGUUUGCGUAGCUUCGACGUUUUGCAAUGGUGGCUUCAGAUGGGUUAUUAGCUGCAUAAUAGUAGACAUUGGGGAUAUUCCCAAUGAGACUGUCAGGAUAACACACAUCACUCAUUCCCACUUGCUUUCCUGGCAUAAAUUCAAGUGAACCAUGAGUACCAAAAUGAAGUACUGUAUCAGCAUUGAAAAUUUUCUCUACAAAGGAGUAGUAAGCUGCAAAGCCAUGAUGUGGGCUAGCAGAUUUGGAGAAUAGCAGCCGCAUAGGAUCACCCUCGUAGCCAAAAGUAGGCUGGACUCCAAUGAAGACAUUACCAUACUGUUUUCCAUACACCAAGAGAUUCUCUCCAUCAGAAUUCAAAUUGCCUGGAGGUUUUCCCCAGUUUUCUUCCAAUGCUGUGGCAUAGGGAGUAAGACUUUGGUAUUCCCGAACACCCAUUUUGUAAGCAAUGUUCAGGUUUGGACUGCUAAAUUGAGCCUCUUUAUCAUGAAUUAUGUCUUCAAUUAAAGCUUCUGAAGUCUCUGGAAGGCCCUCAACAUUGUAACCAUCUUUUUUGAGGUCCUUUAGAACUGAGUAGAUGGAGGAGAAGACGUUAAGGUAGGCUGCUGUCCCAAUAUUCCCCUUGUCCGGAGGAAAACUGAAUACAGUGAUUGCCAACUUUUUCUCAGCCUUGGAUUUCCUUUUCAGUUCAGCCCAUCUGAUUGCCCUGGUGCAUAGUUGCUCCACCCUCUUGUGGAGAGCAUGUGAUUUCCCUGUUCUUGGGUCCCGGCCGGCAAAAACAAUGGGCUCCAUGCCACCAUCAAGCUCAGGAAGAGCAACUUGCAAAGCCACCUGAAUUGGGUGCAGCCCCAAAGUACUAUUUAACCAUUCCUCAGUUGUUUGAAACACCAAAGGCAAUGCAACAAUGUAAGGCACAUCAAGCUUUCUCAGUGCCUCAACAGCUCUAGGAUGGUCCUGCCUUGCUGGGCCUCCAACAAGAGCAAAACCAGUCAAUGAUACCACUGAAUUCACCAUUGGUUUCUUAGUAACUGGAUCGAUCAAAAACCUCUCAACUGGCCCUGAAAAGUCGAGGGCACCGGCAAAAAUUGGGAUCACUUUAGCACCUCUUGCCUCCAACUCCAUAAUCACAGCUACAUAGUGACCAUCAUCACCAGUUACAAUAUGACUUCUUUGCAAGAUCAACCCAAUAACUGGUACAUUAGGGCCUUUAAGCUUCUCAUUAGCAUCCUUUCUAGUUCCAUACCAAUUCAAAUACUCCUUCACAUCAUCAAACAUAGUUGGAGCCAAAGGGUGCCAAAUUCCAUUAUCUAGGAACAGAACUGGAUCAGAAUACUCAAUCUUUUUCCCUUUCAGUGCAGGCACAUAAGAGACAGAUAUCAUUUUCAAGAAAUUCUGCAAGUUAUCUGGCGAUCCACCAAGCCAAAACUGCAAACUCAAGAUAUAAAGCCUAGCAUCUUGAGCCUUGUCACUAGGCAAAUACUUCAAAACCUUAGGCAAGGUCCUGACCAACUUCAACAUGCUCUCAGCAAAUCCUGCACCUUGCUUCUUUCUCUUCAACAAUUGGAAGAAAGGACUCUUUGAUUGGCCAAGCUGUGACAUACUGAAAGAACCCAAUUUGUUAAGCCUCAUUACCUCAGGCAUUGAAGGGAACACCAAAACGGCAUCAAGCCUGUCCCUCUCUUUCUCCACAGCGGUCUUAACCUUCAACGCUAGCUCUUCAACAAAAAUCAAAGACCCAAUAAAGAUAUUUGCAUCUUCAAGGUCUUUGCAGAAAGUUUUGUAUGUGGAUUCAUCACGAAGCUCCUCCACCAAGUAACCAACAACUUCAUAUGAGGCAAAUUUGGAAUUCUCGUUUAGAGAUUGAACUGCAGCAGUAAGUGAGGAUUGGUACUGGGCUUCAAGGACUACGUAGACAAUUUUCACAGUGGGGAGGUUCUGGUUAUUUUCAGGCACUAUUCGGCGAACUUCUGGGGUGGUUUGUGUGAAAAGGCCAUUGCCAAUUGCAGCACAUUUUACUUUCAUGGAGGAUUUGGGGUUUGUCUGUAUGGUUUUCUUGGGUAGAAACGAGUGAAGAAAGUAGUGCUUUUGAGAUAGUGAAGAGAGCUGGUCAGCUUUUAAAGAUGGUAAGGUAAAUGGUGAAGACACUAAAGAAGCCAUUAUUGAUAAAAUCUCACAGCAAGCAACUCAAAAACAGAGUCCUCUGUUUCUCCUUUCUGCUUCUAAAUUAGAGAGGAAGAGAUAAGUAGGUAGAGAAAACAGAAUUUGGAAGCAAAAAAGGGUAUAAAUUUAUUUCUGAUUCUGUGUAGGUUCUGGUUUUGCAGUAGAGUGUCUUCUUCUUCUCCCUCUUUCGCUCUUCAGGAAGUGAAAGAUUAUGGGCUUAUAUUUUCGUUUGUGUGAAGAGAAGGUGAAGAGAGACAUUUAGAACUGCAACGGUUGGUUAUUAUGGUUAGUGGUAGGAGGGAAGUACACGUGGCAGAAUUGGUAGUCACUGAAAUUAUGAUGGGAAGUGUAUUUCUGAGGUUGAGUUUUGUUUUCAGGUUUUUGGAGAGAGAAAUGGGGAUUAAUUGAUGUUGGAAAA